rnacentral:rRNA from 1 species
AAUUCCAGCUCCAAUAGCGUAUAUUAAAGUUGUUGCAGUUAAAAAGCUCGUAGUUGAAUUUCGGGGUUAGUAGGUUGGUCAUGCCUCUGGUAUGUACUGGUCUCACUGAUUCCUCCUUCCUUAUGAACCGUAAUGCCAUUAAUUUGGUGUUGCGGGGAAUUUGGACUGUUACUUUGAAAAAAUUAGAGUGUUUAAAGCAAGCUAACGCUUGAAUACAUUAGCAUGGAAUAAUGAAAUAGGACGUUCGAUCUUAUUUUGUUGGUUUCUAGGAUUGACGUAAUGAUUAAUAGGGAUAGUUGGGGGCAUUAGUAUUCAAUUGUCAGAGGUGAAAUUCUUGGAUUUAUUGAAGACUAACUACUGCGAAAGCAUUUGCCAAGGAUGUUUUCAUUAAUCAAGAACGAAAGUUAGGGGAUCGAAGACGAUCAGAUACCGUCGUAGUCUUAACCAUAAACUAUGCCGACUAGGGAUCGGAUGAUGUUAAUUUUUUAAUGACUCA